ACUUUCGUCGUGAGCGGUUCGUUCGCUGUUUCGCGCGCGCCUGGCGUUUAAAUUGAAUACUUUUGAAAAAACGGUUGCAAUAAAAUGCAGCUGCAGUCGUGCUAAAUCUUUGAGAAACUACUUGAUUCGAAGUCAAAAAUCUGCUGAUUUAAAUCACAGAAUCGAAACCAUUUUUUGUUUUGCGUAGUCGUGUGUGCUCAAGAAUUCAUAUUAUUUUUUGUGGCAAGCAACAAGUGCGAACCGAAGAAACAGCCCGAAACGUGCUGCAAAUUAUUAUUGUUUUUAUGCGGUUUUUUGUCGCAACAACACAGCUGUCAAAGAAUAUAAAACAGCAGCAAAACAAAAGUGCAGUGACUUGAAAAAAAGAAGCGAUCGCCUCUAGAAUAGAAAAGAGGAUAGAAUAAAACUACAACAAAGAAAGGAGCAUAAAGAAACAGAAAAAGAAAAAAAAAGAGAAUAGAACAGAACAGAAACAGAAACAAGAACAACUCCAACUCAUCAUCGUCGGCUCAAAAAAGGCUAACGCACUUAAAUCAAGGAAAUUGAAAUCAAAAUCAAAACAGCGAAACAGAUAUGGAAAUGAAUCGGGCUAAAGUCGUUGUUAAACUUAAACUUGGAGAUGCAAAACGUGAAACCCAAUACGAUGCUGUGUUGUGGGUGCCACUUUCCAACGAUGGAAUUAUGCACAACUGUGUGUGAUGUGGAGGAAACCGGCGAGUAAGCAAAUCAAAUAGCAAAUAGUGUAAACAAAGAGGAGUAAAGGGCAUUGGCUGGCUAAGUUAAAAA